AGAUAUAAUCAUUGAACUUUGAACAGGAGGAUCUUCAAUGAUGACUUGAGGAGGAAAUUCAUCUGAACUAGUAGGAUCUUCCAUAUUAUACAAGUCUCUUGGUUGGAUAUGUACAACAACACUCCAUUCUUUUUCUUGUGCAUCUUCCACAUAGUACACCAAUCUUUCUUGAGAUGCCAACACAUAAGGCUCAUCUUCCUCACCACUUCCAAUGUGUAUCAAACGAGAGAACUUUACCAAAGUGUGACCAAACUCAUGCUUCUUAAAUCUUUGAGCAUCACGAGUAUCUACCCAUUUACAUUUGAAUAAUACAACUCUAAAUGAAUCAUAGUAGUUCAGUUCCAGAAUUUCUAUUA
rnacentral:sRNA from 1 species